UUGCUAUCUGCGAUAUGGAAGAUUCGAACCUGCCGCAGGUUCGGGUCGAACGCAGUGAGACAACGGAGCCGUUUACGGCGACGGCCCGAAGGGCGAGCGAAGCGAGUCAUCCUGCACGACCCACCA
rnacentral:sRNA from 115 species